rnacentral:lncRNA from 1 species
UAAUGUCAAUUUCCAUGGAUAACGCUAGUAGCAACACUACUGCAAUAGGUAUUUUAACUAGAAAACUAAAUCCUGCUUUUACAAAUAUUUUCCAUGCUAGAUGUAUAUGCCAUGUUUAUCAUUUAAUUUUUGGAGAUGGUAUGAGAAUUUUAAACAUAGAAAUUGAAAAGUUAAAUUUGCUCUUAAUUGGCUUUUUUAUUCAAACCGUAGAAGUAGACUUAGAGAAUAN